GAUUGCCACAGGAAGGAGAAAUACAAUAGCUAUGGUGUAUGAAUGUGAGAAGAACGGAAUAAGAGGAUCAAACGGAGAGGGGAAGCGACGGGGAGACACUUGGUACCUUUUCUGGACCAUUGGAAUUUGAGCAAGAAACUGACAUCUUUAAAUUCUGGUACUUCCUUUCCUGGAGUAUACUUUCUUAGAUAGUCCGAGGGCGAUCAUGGAUUCAGCAG